AUUCCAUCGAGCUUUCGUCAAUCAACCAUAUGCGUGCAACACACCAUAUGGUUUAAAAUUCAACGAAAAGUCACUUGUGUAGUUUUUCAUUCGCAAUUUCUCACAUAUCGCACAAACUUAUUGAGUACCUAGAUUGCUUUAACUUGUCGUAAUUUCAGGACUAGUCUGUGCAGAAUAAGUACCACCUACGCUGAAUAGUAAGACUUCAAACAUGGACAAAGAUAAUUUCUUUGGGUUACUUUGUAUCAUUAGUUUCGUCUCCUUUGCAGCCUGCGGUAAAUCUCAAUCCCAAAUGACUGGUGAGUUACUUAGGUACCAAACUACUCCUGAGUGAAAAUGAUGACUAUAUCAUUAUUAUACCUAUACCUCUAUGCACCUAAUUCAAUAUUCAAGAAUAUUCAGCGAUUCUUACGCAUCAACUGAAAAUUAUGACGAAUUUUCAAGACGCCAUGGAUAUAAGAUGGAAGUUGAACGAGGAAUUCCAAAACAUGGGGAUCAGGCGACGCGGUAGCGUUGCCACCCCGCCCUCCCACGGUUCCAAACGCGCACGGAGUUAUAUUCUGUAACUAUUUCCUAAUGCAAUUUCCCCGAGUUUCAAACGCAAUUUUCUCAAAAACUAUGCGUUUAUUCAAAAAACGCAUAGAUACUUUUUUUCUUAUUUUUCAAAGACCUUUCAGAAUAUAUUAUAAGAAUAAUUUUUGUACAAUAAAAAUUCGCAAAGUUUCAAGUUA